UGUAAUAACCAGCGGCAGAACUCUAAGC
rnacentral:piRNA from 1 species